GUGGUUGAACGAUCAGACUUUAGCAUUUGAAAGGUGGGGCACUGGUGAACCUGAUCAUGGUAGCCAACAACGAUGUGUGCUGAUUAAUGGAAUGGACAAUUACCUCUGGUAUGAUAAUUUUUGCCACUAACAAUAUCACACCAUCUGCGAACGUCCUUUAAAUCAACACACGACAACAGCAACAUCUAAUGCAGCAACAACUCCAAAAUUCACUUCAGUAGAGACAACUUCAACAUCAACAUUGUCUUCAACAACAACAACAACAAGAAAAACCACAACAGCUCCGACGACGACAAAGACUACAUCAACGACGACGAGCAGAACAAAUGCGCCUUUAACUACAGCGAAAGCGCCAGAAUAUUGCACAGAUCAUCAUGGAUACAAAUUGUUUGUGGAUGGAAACACACGUCUCUGUGUUCUUAUUGUCGACCAUCAUACAAGCUGGGAAGAUGCCAAGCGACAUUGUGCACACGAGAAUCAUGGACGAUUAGUUGUUCUAGACAGCCAUGAAAAAUUGACUCUAAUGGCUCAUCAUAAAGGCAGUCAUGAUUACUGGGUCGGGGCUGCAUAUCAAAAUUCAAACAUCCAAUUUUCUUGGCUGAAUGAACACCCUGUUGGUCCUAAUUCAUGGAACCAUGGUCAACCGAACGACCCUCACCACGAGCAGUGUGUUGCAUAUAUCGGUAAACUGUUAAACGACAGAAACUGUGAUGACGAAAAUAGAUCUAUUUGCGAAAUACCUUUAUAAAAAAGUAUUCAGAAUAA